CCAACAUCUCCAUAGCAGCCAGACAGUUGCUUAGAAACAGUAACUGACAGGACCCCCCAUCACUACUCCACCAAAUAUGCAAUUCUUUAAGGUGAGAAGCACAGGAGGAGUGUCUCCCGGGCUCUGCAUAGAGGUGUAGAAAGAAGAAACCUCAACUUCUUCCAAGUUCUGAUCCUGGCCUUUACAAGCUAGAAAGCAAAGCCUCGGUGGAUUUUAGCUAUUACUCAAGAUUUUCCACUUUUUAAAUGACACUUUGAUGAACAUUUAUCAACUGUAGAGACUCAUGGGGUUCAUUGCCAGAUUCCAAUAUAUGCCUUCAACGUGCACUGAUCAAAUCCAGCCUUCUGCAGUCCACCCUUCCCAACCUCUAGUCAUCAUGGUUCUCAGUCGGGUCCCAAGUUUUCUUUCCUCACAAAGAAUAAAUGAGUUAAUGCUAA